GUGCCAGACUCCUACGGGAGGCAGCAGUGGGGAAUAUUGCACAAUGGGGGAAACCCUGAUGCAGCAACGCCGCGUGAGUGAAGAAGUAUUUCGGUAUGUAAAUCUCUAUCAGCAGGGAAGAAGAUGACGGUACCUGACUAAGAAGCCCCGGCUAACUACGUGCCAGCAGCCGCGGUAAUACGUAGGGGGCAAGCGUUAUCCGGAUUUACUGGGUGUAAAGGGAGCGUAGACGGCAGUGCAAGUCCGGAGUGAAAACCCGGGGCCCAACCCCGGGACUGCUCUUGGAACUGCGUGGCUGGAGUGCAGGAGGGGCAGGCGGAAUUCCUGGUGUAGCGGUGAAAUGCGUAGAUAUCAGGAGGAACACCGGUGGCGAAGGCGGCCUGCUGGACUGCAACUGACGUUGAGGCCCGAAAGCGUGGGGAGCAAACAGGAUUAGAUACCCCAGUA
rnacentral:rRNA from 1 species